ACUGGCGCAGUCGCAGUCGUCUCGGCGGAUUACCGGGACAUAGGAUGAAGAUUCCACUCAUUCUAUUCUGGGCCUGGGUCAUCCAAGCGGACAUGCAGCUUUACGACUUGAACACCAACCCCGGCGUUGUAAUGUUGCGAUCAGGAAGAAGAUAUAUCAAAGAAGGUAACAUUCGAAUUUACCAUAAAAUUGACCUCCAGGCAUACGGACCACUGAUUGUUCGGUGUAGAACCGCUAUCAACAGCCUAAAAACAGCUAGGAAUUAUAAAGAGGUUAUAGAUUUACUAAGCCAUAGGGUCGAAAAAAUCAUGAACAUGUACCGAGAUCUUUACCCUAAAGAGGUAGUAAGAAGAAAAAGAGCUCUAGAUUUUCUAGGAACUGGGAUUAAGUUCAUAACGGGUAACAUGGACUCCGAUGAUAGGGCCCAGAUCAAGAGCGACAUAGAUACAAUAUUGAAUAAGGAAGAAGACCUCGUUAAACAAAAUAAUAAACAGAUAGUUAUAAAUAAACAGUUAGAAACAAGAGUAAACAAAAUGAUUAGGAUUAUUAAUGAUCAGCAGAACAAUGCCAUACUACAACUGAACGAUUUCAACAUCUUAAAACAGACAAUUAUUGCAACCGAUCACCUUAACCAAAUCGAGGGCCAUCUAGAUAGUAUAGCUGAAACAAUCCAUCUGGCAAAAUUCAACAUCAUCUCGAAAUCGUUUUUAGAACCAGAAGAAAUAGGACUAGUUCAAAAAAACCCUGAUUGAGCAAGAUGUUGCUCUUCAUAAUGUUAAUCAAAUCUACGAUUUUUUAGAGAUCAAGGUAGCAUACUUGCAAUCGAAUCUAUUUUUUUGUUAUAUUGGUCCCGCGGUUAAAACAAGGAACGUUCAAAAGUUAUUUGUUAGCAGCCAUCCCAAAGAAUGGGAAGAUCAUUCAACUCCCGGCACCCGACGCUUUGGUCGGCGGAAACCAAACGUAUUUCAUCAGGCAGCACUGUGCGGGUGGUGACUCUAUUGUGGUAUGCAAUGAAGAGGAUCUUAUUGACGUUAGUGGCGACAACUGCUUCGACCCAAUAUUUCGAGGCUCAACAGGUGACUGCGUGUUCACCAACUAUUCAAGCACAAGUAGAGUAAGGAGGCUAACGGACAAUCACAUUCUUCUAAACAGCGGAAACAAGACAAAGCUGUCAUCAACGUGCGGCCUCCCAGAUCGUAAUCUGAGCGGUAACGUUCUGAUUUUUUUCGAAAACUGCACUGUCCAGAUUAACGACGAAAUUUUCAAAGACGUCUUGUUUAACACGAGGGAGAAAAUCGACAUAAUCCCCCUAAACGGACAAAUUAUUAACGAAGGUCGCUUCAAUGCAAGCCUAUCUCUGCAAAACGUACACGAGCUGCACCUAGCUCAUAGAGAAUGGCUAGAGAGCAUUGAGAGGAAGGCCACCGCGACGGAUUCCAGAAACAUAGGAAUAUUUUUCGUCUUUUCCUGCCUUUUCUCGGCGAUGUUUGUAGCCAAGGUUUGUGCGAGACGCACAAAACUGAAGGACGGAGGAGUUACGGAUGCCCGCCACCACCCUAGCCACCAUGCCCGUAGUGACACACACACCUGCGCUGCCCACACGACCGAUGCCACGACCGAUGCCACGACCGCUGCCACAGCCGACACCAACACCUCUCUGGAGAGAGGCAACGAUAGCCGGAAGAAGCUUAAACUUGCGCUCAAUAAAGCAGUAUUGAACUAGCAA
rnacentral:lncRNA from 1 species